AGAGUUUGAUCCUGGCUCAGAACGAACGCUGGCGGCAGGCUUAAUACAUGCAAGUCGAACGGGCGUAGCAAUACGUCAGUGGCAGACGGGUGAGUAACGCGUGGGAACGUACCCCUCGGUUCGGAAUAACUCAGGGAAACUUGAGCUAAUACCGGAUACGGCCGAGAGGCGAAAGAUUUAUCGCCGAGGGAUCGGCCCGCGUCCGAUUAGCUAGUUGGUGAGGUAAUGGCUCACCAAGGCGACGAUCGGUAGCUGGUCUGAGAGGAUGAUCAGCCACAUUGGGACUGAGACACGGCCCAAACUCCUACGGGAGGCAGCAGUAGGGAAUAUUGGACAAUGGGCGAAAGCCUGAUCCAGCCAUGCCGCGUGAGUGAUGAAGGCCUUAGGGUUGUAAAGCUCUUUCGUCAGGGACGAUAAUGACGGUACCUGAAGAAGAAGCCCCGGCUAACUUCGUGCCAGCAGCCGCGGUAAUACGAAGGGGGCUAGCGUUGUUCGGAAUCACUGGGCGUAAAGCGCAUGUAGGCGGGUCUUUAAGUCAGGGGUGAAAUGCCAAGGCUCAACCUUGGAACUGCCUUUGAUACUGGAGACCUUGAGUCCGGGAGAGGUGAGUGGAACUGCGAGUGUAGAGGUGAAAUUCGUAGAUAUUCGCAAGAACACCAGUGGCGAAGGCGGCUCACUGGCCCGGUACUGACGCUGAUAUGCGAAAGCGUGGGGAGCAAACAGGAUUAGAUACCCUGGUAGUCC
rnacentral:rRNA from 1 species